rnacentral:rRNA from 1 species
AAUAGAUACCCUGGUAGUCCACGCCGUAAACGAUGGAUGCUAGCUAUUGGGGGGAAUCGACUCCCUCCGGAGCGAAGCUAACGCGUUAAGCAUCCCGCCUGAGUAGUACGAGCGCAAGCUUAAAACUCAAAGGAAUUGACGGGGACCCGCACAAGCGGUGGAGCGUGUGGUUUAAUUCGAUGGUAAACGAAGAACCUUACCAAGGUUUGACAUCCCGGUAGCCGUUCUCCGAAAGGAGAAUUUCAUUUAGUUGGACCGGUGACAGGUAAUGCAUGGCCGUCGUCAGCUCGUGUCGUGAGAUGUUGGGUUAAGUCCCGCAACGAGCGCAACCCUUAUGAUUUAGUUGGAUUUUUCUAAACAGACUGCCCUGGUAACAGGGAGGAAGGAGGGGAUGAUGUCAGGUCAGUAUUUCCCUUACACCUUGGGCGACACACGCGCUACAAUGGCCGGUACAAUGGGCAGCUAAGCCGCGAGGUGGAGCAAAUCCCAUCAAAGCCGGUCCCAGUUCGGAUUGCAGGCUGAAACCCGCCUGCAUGAAGCCGGAAUCGCUAGUAACC